rnacentral:rRNA from 1 species
UUUAGAGUUUUGGAUCCUGGCUCAGGAUGAACGCUGGCGGCGUGCCUAAUACAUGCAAGUCGAGCGAACAGACGAGGAGCUUGCUCCUCUGACGUUAGCGGCGGACGGGUGAGUAACACGUGGAUAACCUACCUAUAAGACUGGGAUAACUUCGGGAAACCGGAGCUAAUACCGGAUAAUAUAUUGAACCGCAUGGUUCAAUAGUGAAAGACGGUUUUGCUGUCACUUAUAGAUGGAUCCGCGCCGCAUUAGCUAGUUGGUAAGGUAACGGCUUACCAAGGCAACGAUGCGUAGCCGACCUGAGAGGGUGAUCGGCCACACUGGAACUGAGACACGGUCCAGACUCCUACGGGAGGCAGCAGUAGGGAAUCUUCCGCAAUGGGCGAAAGCCUGACGGAGCAACGCCGCGUGAGUGAUGAAGGUCUUCGGAUCGUAAAACUCUGUUAUUAGGGAAGAACAAAUGUGUAAGUAACUAUGCACGUCUGAC